rnacentral:rRNA from 1 species
UACGAAGGGGGCUAGCGUUGUUCGGAAUCACUGGGCGUAAAGGGCGCGUAGGCGGCUUUAUAAGUCGGGGGUGAAAGCCUGGGGCUCAACCACAGAAUUGCCUUCGAUACUGUAGAGCUUGAGACCGGAAGAGGUAAGUGGAACUGCGAGUGUAGAGGUGAAAUUCGUAGAUAUUCGCAAGAACACCAGUGGCGAAGGCGGCUUACUGGUCCGGUUCUGACGCUGAGGCGCGAAAGCGUGGGGAGCAAACAGG